rnacentral:sRNA from 1 species
GCCAGGUGUGGUGGUGCACACCUGUAAUCCCAGUGGCUUGGGAGGCUGAGGCAGAAGGAUCACAAGUUCAAGGCCAGCCCUAGCAACUUAGAUCCUGUCGCAA